GAUGAACGCUGGCGGCGUGCCUAAUACAUGCAAGUCGAGCGAACGGACGAGAAGCUUGCUUUUCUGAUGUUAGCGGCGGACGGGUGAGUAACACGUGGAUAACCUACCUAUAAGACUGGGAUAACUUCGGGAAACCGGAGCUAAUACCGGAUAAUAUUUUGAACCGCAUGGUUCAAAAGUGAAAGACGGUCUUGCUGUCACUUAUAGAUGGAUCCGCGCUGCAUUAGCUAGUUGGUAAGGUAACGGCUUACCAAGGCAACGAUGCAUAGCCGACCUGAGAGGGUGAUCGGCCACACUGGAACUGAGACACGGUCCAGACUCCUACGGGAGGCAGCAGUAGGGAAUCUUCCGCAAUGGGCGAAAGCCUGACGGAGCAACGCCGCGUGAGUGAUGAAGGUCUUCGGAUCGUAAAACUCUGUUAUUAGGGAAGAACAUAUGUGUAAGUAACUGUGCACGCCUUGACGGUACCUAAUCAGAAAGCCACGGCUAACUACGUG
rnacentral:rRNA from 1 species